UACGUAGGAGGCAAGCGUUGUCCGGAAUUACUGGGCGUAAAGCGCGUGUAGGUGGUGGGACAAGUCUGCUGUGAAAGCGCCUGGCUUAACCGGGCGAGGUCGGCGGAAACUGUCGCACUCGAGGACGGUAGAGGGGGGGGUGGAAUUCCCGGUGUAUGGUGAAAUGCGUAGGUGAAUCGGGAGGAACACCUGUGGCGAAGGCGGCCCCCUGG
rnacentral:rRNA from 1 species